rnacentral:rRNA from 1 species
CAGUCGCCGCGGGAAUACGAAGGGGGCUAGCGUUGCUCGGAAUUACUAGGCGUAAAGGGCGCGUAGGCGGACAUUUAAGUCAGAGGUGAAAGCCCAGGGCUCAACCUUGGAACUGCCUUUGAUACUGGGUGUCUAGAGUGCGGGAGAGGUGUGUGGAACUCCGAGUGUAGAGGUGAAAUUCGUAGAUAUUCGGAAGAACACCAGUGGCAAAGGCGACACACUGGCCCGUAACUGACGCUGAGGCGCGAAAGCGUGGGGAGCAAACAGGAUUAGAUACCCGAUAGUUCCUGUCUCUUAUACA